ACGCAACGGCAUGGUUACGAACCCUGUCAGGUCCGGAAGGAAGCAGCAGUAAGUAACUCAUCCGUGUGCCGUGGGUUUUCUGAUGUAA
rnacentral:SRP_RNA from 1 species